GACGAACGCUGGCGGCGUGCUUAACACAUGCAAGUCGAACGAUGAAGCCGGAGCUUGCUCUGGUGAAUUAGUGGCGAACGGGUGAGUAACACGUGAGUAACCUGCCCUUGACUCUGGGAUAACUGCGGGAAACUGUAGCUAAUACCGGAUACGACCCUCGGAGGCAUCUCCUGGGGGUGGAAAGAAUUUCGGUCAAGGAUGGACUCGCGGCCUAUCAGCUAGUUGGUGAGGUAAAGGCUCACCAAGGCGACGACGGGUAGCCGGCCUGAGAGGGUGACCGGCCACACUGGGACUGAGACACGGCCCAGACUCCUACGGGAGGCAGCAGUGGGGAAUAUUGUACAAUGGGCGCAAGCCUGAUGCAGCAACGCCGCGUGAGGGAUGACGGCUUUCGGGUUGUAAACCUCUUUUAGCAGGGAAGAAGCGAAAGUGACGGUACCUGCAGAAAAAGCACCGGCUAACUACGUGCCAGCAGCCGCGGUAA
rnacentral:rRNA from 1 species